UACGAAGGGGGCUAGCGUUGUUCGGAAUUACUGGGCGUAAAGGGCGCGUAGGCGGUUUGCCAAGUCAGAUGUGAAAGCCCCGGGCUCAACCUGGGAACCGCAUUUGAGACUGGCCGACUCGAGUUCGGGAGAGGAUAGUGGAAUUCCCAGUGUAGAGGUGAAAUUCGUAGAUAUUGGGAAGAACACCGAUGGCGAAGGCAGCUAUCUGGACCGACACUGACGCUGAGGCGCGAAAGCGUGGGGAGCAAACAGGAUUAGAAACCCCCGUAGUCC
rnacentral:rRNA from 1 species